UGUGCAGGGAUGGGAAACGAACCCACAGUGUUCCGCUUACCGGGCAGAUGCCAUGUCCACUAGGCUACCCUGGAC
rnacentral:tRNA from 1 species